AUCCUACAGCUCAACUGUAGAACUGCCUGUGAUACUACUAAUCUUGAGUGCAGAAGAGAGAAGCGGAAUUCCAGGUGGAGUGGUGAAAUACUUAGAUAUCUGGAAGAACACCAGUUGCGAAGGCGGUUUCUUAGACUGUCACUGACGCUGAGGCGCGAAAGCGUGGGUAGCAAACAGGAUUAGAUACCCUGGUAGUCCACGCUGUAAACGAUGAAUGCUAGGUGUUGGGUGUUUACACUCGGUGCCAAAGUUAACGCAUUAAGCAUUCCACCUGGGAAGUACGAUCGCAAGGUUGAAACUCAAAGGAAUUGACGGGGGCCCGCACAAGCAGUGGAGCAUGUGGUUUAAUUCGAUGCAACGCGAAGAACCUUACCUAGGCUUGAAAUGCAAUGGACCGGUUGUGAAAGCAACCUUCCCUUCGGGGCUGUUGCACAGGUGCUGCAUGGCUGUCGUCAGCUCGUGCCGUGAGGUGUUGGGUUAAGUCUCGCAACGAGCGCAACCCCUAUCAUUAGUUGCCACCGGGUAAUGCCGAGCACUCUAAUGAAACUGCCUACGCAAGUAGUGAGGAAGGUGGGGAUGACGUCAAGUCCGCAUGGCCCUUACGCCUAGGGCUACACACGUGCUACAAUGGGUGCUACAGAGGGUAGCAAUACCGCGAGGUGGAGCUAAUCCCAAAAAGGCAUCCCCAGUUCGGAUUGAAGUCUGCAACCCGACUUCAUGAAGUUGGAAUUGCUAGUAAUCGCGUAUCAGAACGACGCGGUGAUACGUUCCCGGGCCUUGUACACACCGCCCGUCAAGCCAUGGAAGCCGGGGGUACCCAAAGAUGGCGACCCAACCUUUUAGGAGGGAGCUAUUUAAGG
rnacentral:rRNA from 1 species